rnacentral:rRNA from 1 species
AACGAACGCUGGCGGCAGGCCUAACACAUGCAAGUCGAACGCCCUAGCAAUAGGGAGUGGCAGACGGGUGAGUAACACGUGGGAACCUUCCCAGUAGUACGGAAUAGCCCAGGGAAACUUGGAGUAAUACCGUAUACGCCCGAAAGGGGAAAGAUUUAUCGCUACUGGAUGGGCCCGCGUUGGAUUAGCUAGUUGGUGAGGUAACGGCUCACCAAGGCGACGAUCCAUAGCUGGUCUGAGAGGAUGACCAGCCACACUGGGACUGAGACACGGCCCAGACUCCUACGGGAGGCAGCAGUGGGGAAUCUUGGACAAUGGGCGCAAGCUUGAUCCAGCCAUGCCGCGUGAGUGACGAAGGUCUUCGGAUUGUAAAGCUCUUUUGGCGGGGACGAUAAUGACGGUACCCGCAGAAUAAGCCCCGGCUAACUUCGUGCCAGCCGCCGCCGUAAGAC